rnacentral:rRNA from 1 species
UACGGAGGGUGCGAGCGUUGUCCGGAAUUAUUGGGCGUAAAGAGCUCGUAGGCGGUUUGUCGCGUCGGCCGUGAAAUCUCCACGCUUAACGUGGAGCGUGCGGUCGAUACGGGCAGACUUGAGUUCGGUAGGGGAGACUGGAAUUCCUGGUGUAGCGGUGAAAUGCGCAGAUAUCAGGAGGAACACCGGUGGCGAAGGCGGGUCUCUGGGCCGAUACUGACGCUGAGGAGCGAAAGCGUGGGGAGCAAACAGG